UCCUGGAGUGAUUUUUAUACAUUAUUUUUAUUGUGGAAAAUUGCUCUUUCAAGUGAGAGAAAGUUCAACGUGACUCAGGCCAAAAAUAGGGGAGAAAUGGUGGAUUCCUGUAACUGCAAAGUCUAGGGUAUAGUAGCUUCAGACAAGGCUAGAUUUUGAUGUUAAAAGACGUCAUGAAGAAUCUGUUUCCAUCUUCCCACUUUGCUGUCUUCUGUGUUGGUUUCCUUCUCCGGCAGUCUCUCUGUGAUGACAAAGAGGCUAUCACCAGCUGCUGACUUACAUCCUGCUGACUUAGGGACCCCAGAGGAGUCACUCUCAUUCGCAGUUUGGGGCAUGUUUCCACUCCUGGGGUUGGAAAACAGUUUGAGGACUUGAUCCACGUGAGCCAAGAUGGGGAGAGAUGGGUGGGAUGGGGCACACCCAGUGGUGUGCAGGGUAGGGGGGAUGUUUAACAAGGAGUUCUGGGUGAGGGUCGGAGGUAGAGUCUUCAUUUGUAACGUUUGCCAAUUUCCAUGGUGUAAUAAACACUUUCACUGAAGCAAAUUUCAAGCUACUGAUGUGCACGGAAUUGGGAAGAGAGAUGAAGACACACCUGCUAUGUAAUAUUCCUACCACGCAGGUAAAACGAAUGAUGUGCCAGUCACUGGGUUGCACCUUGGACGCAGUAAGCAAAAGAACACGUGAUCUCUGCCCUCCUACAGCUUACAAAAGAGGAUGAGCUGAGUAAUCAUGAGAAAAUCUUCAGGAGCUGAGACUAGGUGAAGCGUUCUUAGACUUGACACAAAAACAUACUGCGUAAGAGGAAAUCUGAUAAAUUGGACAUCAUCAAAAUUAAAGCCUGUUGCUUUGCAAGGAGACCAGAAUUAGAGGAUGCAGACAAGAAGCCUAGACUCUAGUGCAGCAGAAAUACACACAAGAAUCUGUGUCUAUCGCAGAGGUCCAAACAAAUACUCUGAGAAUACAAAGGAAAAUGAGAUUACUUUCAGCCAAGGAAAUCUAGGAAGUCUGACAAGGCGAUAACCAAGCUAGGAAUUGAAAGACAAGUAGGAUUGCAACAGAGGGACCCAAGAGUAAGAAGAGCAUCCAAGGCAGAAUUAGCAAGAGCUAGAAGGAAGGAAAGUGCAAGAAUGUUUAUACAGUGAGUAGCCCGGUACAGAUUACGGUGUAUGGGAGGAGCAGAGUGGGAAGUGAGCCUGGAAAGGUGAUCUGGGGACAUAUUGUACAAUUAAGUGCAGUGAGGACAUGGCCCUUCUCCCAGAUAACUUACAGCUAGAAAAAUGCUAAUUCAGGUAAGAGGUGCAGAGCAAGCUGGCAGGUGUGAACUCUGGACAUCCAAGAAGAAUGGGAUUAUUUGGCCAAGGGCCAUCAUGCAAGAUGCCCAGAAGCUCCAGGUGGCAUUGCCUGAGGGGAGCAGGAGGGCGUGGCUGUGGCCUCCUAUCUUAGGCACAGGCUGGGAUACCUAAGUCUGUCUUUUUCCCACGGGAGUCUCUUCCUUGCUUCUCCCACCAUCGUUCUCAGGCUGAGGGCGGAGCCAGAAACGCUCACCUGCAGCAGCUCCAGUUGAAUACAGCCUGGUCUCUGCAAGCUCCCAGAAGCAGACUUGGAUGCUGAUGGCGUCAAUAGCAAAGUCAAAAGCCUGCCAACGGCCUUGUCACUGCUGAGAUGGAACAGUGGUUGAUGACAUUGAAGUUUCUGGGACAUUAUCAGUAACAAUAAAAUGUAACUCUCACUGUACAAAGAGAGCUUGGUUUCUGAAUGUACCCUGCCAGCAGAACUCGCCAGGAGCUCCUUAUCCAGAUUCCAAGUCUGAAUUAAAUUCACGUUUUUAAAAAAUGGUCAGGGAAAUUAUGCAAGUUCGAGAGAGGCCCCUUCACUUGCCAUUUCACAGAGAAAAAAUUAAUGGAGGGGGAAGGAAAGUAAUUUCUCUCAUAAAAUGGUAGUAUAAUAUCUUUUUUGGUUAUUAUCUGUUCAGCGAGAACUGCAGUCUGCAAUCUCCUUUAGUGUUCAAUUUUUUAAUUCCCAAUGUGAAUAUUGAGUCAAAAAGCAAAUGACCUUUCAGACCAAGAAAACCAAGUCUAAGGUCACUGGAAUUUCUUAAAUUCUCUGUCCACAUUCUCAAACUACUAUAGCUGUUCUUUAAAAUAUAGCAUAUAAACAGAUGGUGU